rnacentral:rRNA from 1 species
AUUACUCCUACGGGAGGCAGCAGUGAGGAAUAUUGGUCAAUGGGUGCAAGCCUGAACCAGCCAUCCCGCGUGAAGGAUUAAGGUCCUAUGGAUUGUAAACUUCUUUUGUAUAGGGAUAAACCUACCCUCGUGAGGGUAGCUGAAGGUACUAUACGAAUAAGCACCGGCUAACUCCGUGCCAGCAGCCGCGGUAAUAAU